GACGAACGCUGGCGGCGUGCUUAACACAUGCAAGUCGAACGGAAAGGCCCUACUAUUGUGCGGUGCUCGAGUGGCGAUCGGGUGCGUAACACGUGAGUAACCUGCUCUAGUUUUUGGGAUAACUUCAGGUAACUGGGGCUACUAUCGGAUAGGAGCUCCCGCUGCAUUGUAGGGGGUGGAAAGUCUCGGCCGGAGGGGUUGGACGCGCGGCUAAUCAGCUUGUUGGUGGGGGAGUGGCUUACCAAGGCAUUGACGGGUCGCCGGCCUGUGAGGGUGACCGGCCACAAUGGUACUGCGGGACGGCCCAGAGUCCUACAGGGGGCAGCAGGGGGGAAUAUGGCACAAUGGGCGGAAGCCUGAGACGACAGCCUCGCGGUUGGAAAGACGGCCUUCUGGUUAAAAACCGCUUUCGCCUGUUACGAAGCGGUAGUGACGGUAAUGGGUAAAGAAGCACCGGCUAACUACGUG
rnacentral:rRNA from 1 species